AAGGCUUUCAUCACUUUCUCUGUGUUGUACCCCUCACCUACUACAGAGAAAGCUUCAUGGCUUCAUUGGUACUCUAAGAGCUGGUUCUUGAUGAACUAAAGAGGAAGGCUCUGGAAGUGCAGACUGAACCCAGCCCAGCCCUGUGUAUCCUGCUUUCCCAGGCUAACCACUUUGGCUUUCUCAAGUGAGAGUCAGGCACAAGUCCAACAUCUGAGCCCUCUGCCCCUCUUGUCCAGUGGAGAGAACCCAUGUAGCCAGUUCAUCCUGAAAUUGACAUGGAAUGUCAAGGAACCCCAGAGAGCCAAAACAAGUUGGCAAAGAACAAAGUUGGAGGAUUCACACUUUCUGAUUUCAAAACUUACUAGAAAGCUACAGUAAUCAAAACAAUGUGGUAUUGGUAAAAAGACAGAAAUAUAACUAGUAGAAUGGAAAAAAAGAUAAACCCCAGAAAUAAACCGUCACAUAUAUGGUCAAAUGAUUUUUAACAAUGAUCAAUGCCAAGAUCAUUCAAUGGGGAAAAGACAGUCUUUGCAACAAACGAUAUAGAAAAAACUGGAUUUCCACACACAAAGGAAUGAAGUUUUGUAUACUUACAAUACACCAUAUUCAAAAAUUAACUCAAAAUGGAGAAAUCUUCUGUAUCCGUGGAUGUUUUGUUGCCCUUGUGUAGCUUGGAUUAAUACUUAGUCUAUAGGCACACACCUGAUCAUCUACAUUUGCUUUCUUACAGCACUAAACUAUGUUUUCUACCUUUAUCUUGCAUCUACCUACCACUUCAGCAUUUUAUUAAAAAAAAUAAUAAUAAUAAUAAUAAGGGAGAAAUGUGGGAUUCACAUAUAAAUCAAGUAUAAAAUCAAACGAAUAUUCAUAUUUGACCUGAUUGUUUAUAGUUCAUAAUGCGUGAUCAAAACUGAAAGUUUCUGUGAUGACUGCCCUUGUACUGUUCACCAUGUAAGAACUUAUUCACUAUGUAAGAAUUUGUUCACCAUGUAAGAACUUGUUUGUUAUGCUUCAGAAGAUCGGAGACUGAUGAGAAUUAGGCUUGGGGUGGAUUAAUGAUUGUGCAUUGAGUCCCCUAUACAGAAUUUUAUUGUUGUUAACAACCAUUUGAUCAAUAAAUAUGAGAGAUGCCCUCUCCAAAAAAAAAAAAUUAACUCAAAAUGGAUCAAUGACCUAAGUAUAAGAGCUGAAACUACAAAACUCUUACAAGAAAACAGGGGGAAAGCAUCACGGCCUUGGGUGUGGCAAUGAUUUCUUGGAUAUGACACCAAAGGCCCAGGUAACAAAAGAAAAAAAUGGACAAAUUGAACCUCAUCAAAAUAAAAAACAUUUGUGCAUCAACAGACAUGAUCAACAGAGUAAAAAGGCCACCGGCAGAAUGGGAGACAGUAUUU